AGUGAACGCUGGCGGUAGGCCUAACACAUGCAAGUCGAACGGCAGCACAGUAAGAGCUUGCUCUUACGGGUGGCGAGUGGCGGACGGGUGAGGAAUACAUCGGAAUCUACUUUUUCGUGGGGGAUAACGUAGUGAAACUUACGCUAAUACCGCAUACGACCUACGGGUGAAAGCAGGGGAUCUUCGGACCUUGCGCGAUUGAAUGAGCCGAUGUCGGAUUAGCUAGUUGGCGGGGUAAAGGCCCACCAAGGCGACGAUCCGUAGCUGGUCUGAGAGGAUGAUCAGCCACACUGGAACUGAGACACGGUCCAGACUCCUACGGGAGGCAGCAGUGGGGAAUAUUGGACAAAGGGCGCAAGCCUGAUCCAGCCAUACCGCGUGGGUGAAGAAGGCCUUCGGGUUGUAAAGCCCUUUUGUUGGGAAAGAAAAGCAGCAGGUUAAUACCCCGCUGUUCUGACGGUACCCAAAGAAUAAGCACCGGCUAACUUCGUG
rnacentral:rRNA from 1 species